GGAAGGUGGGCGCUGAGCUGGACUGACAGCAGGUGAUGGAAGCCACCAGCCCCAGGGGCCCCCGUCUGCCUCUUCCUUCCCGCUGCUGCCCCCGACUCCAGAUGCUCACUGGUGCUGGCCAGAGCAGAGGGCAGGGGCCACCCCUGGGGUGGGGCCCGUGGCUUCUCUGAGCCAGCUCCGGCGCUGGGCUGCCACCCUCCUGGGCAUGCGGGCUUAUUCAAACUAGAUACCAUAAGGCAGUCUCUUCUCACCAGAAUCUAUUCAGGAACCAGCCCCAUGGAUCAGCAUGUCGACACUAACAAGCAGAACCUGUUGGGACCAAGUCCCAUGGAUCAGCAUGUUGAUACAAACAACCAGAACCUGUUGGGACCCAGCCCCAUGGAUCAGCACUUCAACACUAACAAGCUGACUUGGCCAAAGCUUCCAGCCCAGCACGCUGACAGUUAGCCAGUUAUUCUGAGAACAUUCUUUUCAAAACACUCGACAAACAGGCUGAGAGAUUCCUUUGUCCGCAGCCAGCCUCUGAAACUGAGCUGAAGCUCAAAGGGUUGAGAAGAACCCCAAGGAGGGUAUGAGAGGAUGAGCAGGAGGCGGAAACCUUUGUGAAUGUGGGUGGGGAAGAUGGUCAGUGACAGCGAAUUUUGCUGCGAACAUGGAUCAUUUGUGCUUUUAUCAAAGCACAGCUUUUAAUUCCUAAAAUAUAACAGCCUUGUGCGGGAGCUCGAAGAAAAGGCAGCUUUUCCUGCAGAACUUUGCUGCCGAGCACCUGCAGCGGAAUGGAAAAUGUGGUGCCAAGUCGGUCGGGCUACUUUCCACUCCUGACGCCACCUUGCCUUUCAUCUGCUUCCUGCAGCUCCGGGCUGCCUGCCGGGGUCGGAGCUGUGGCCACUCUCGGGCCCUUGGAGCUGCGCUUGCCCCUGUGUGGGUGAGCUUGUUUUGCCCUGUGGACCUCUUUGUGAAUCAUGGAAAUCAAUCGAAUGUAGUGCUCUGCCUCCUGAUGGCGAUUCCCACUGUCUUUGGUCUCAUAAUUCUCUGUCUCACCUUCUUUACGCCGCGGGAGCCUGCGGGGCUGUGCGGCUAUGUCACAGGAGGGCUGCGUAACCCGCACAACCGCUCUGUAUUCACCAGCGGGACAGACGGCGCCUUGUGUCACCAAGAGCACCCCCGGCCCUCGUCCCAACACUCUUCCCCACGGGAGGCAGGUGUGUCAGCCUGGGAGCCCCUGAGACAUCCUCCCCUCCC
rnacentral:lncRNA from 1 species